rnacentral:rRNA from 1 species
AACGAACGCUGGCGGCAGGCCUAAACAUGCAAGUCGAGCGGGCAUAGCAAUAUGUCAGCGGCGGACGGGUGAAUAACACGUGGGAACAUGCCCUUUGGUACGGAACAACUCAGGGAAACUUGAGCUAAUACCGUAUGUGCCGGUAACGGGAAAGAUUUAUCGCCAAAGGAUUGGCCCGCGUCCGAUUAGCUAGUUGGUGAGGUAACGGCUCACCAAGGCGACGAUCGGUAGCUGGUUUGAGAGAACGAUCAGCCACACUGGGACUGAGACACGGCCCAGACUCCUACGGGAGGCAGCAGUUGGGAA